CAACAUUCUUCGGAACACAGGCAUCUAAGCUUUUGAUUCCAUUAUUAUGUCUAAACUUUGAAGUUUUUGAACUUGUUUAUUAUUAAUCUUUUUUCAGACAAUGUAAAAUGAAGCUUAGACAACAUUAGUGUUGUUAACAUACAAUGACGUGUGAACUCAAGCAUGCAUCUAAUUCUUGCUUCGGGCAUUAAACAAUUUGAGCAUGGCAUCAUCAAAUAUUGUUCCUGAAUUUCUAGGAGACUCCAAUUAUGCAAAUUGGAGUACUUGCAUGAAGAACUAUUUGUUGGCCAACGACCUUUGGGAUAUUGUUGAAGCAACCACUAAACGUCCUAGUGAGAAGGAGGAUAGAGGUGAAUUUAAUGGUUGGAGAAAGAAGAAUGCAGCUGCUUUACAUGCAAUUCAAAUUUCAUGCCUACCAGACAAACUUUCCCAAAUAAGAUACAUUGAUUCUGCUAGAGUUUGCUGGAAAACUUUAGCCAAAAUGAAUAAGAGAAAGUCAUCAAAAGACCAAACACAGGAACAAGAAACUGAAUUGGCGUCAUCGGAAGUGGAAUCACAGACAGAAUCGGUAGAUGAAGGAACAGAGAAGGACGAGUACCUUCAGUUUCAGCCAUUACGAGAGGCUAUAGAUAAAGGUGAUUUUAAUGCUGUGAAAACCUUCGUUAAUCUUUGCCCAGAUGCAGUGCACAGAAAGGUUACAGGUUUUGGUGAAACAGCGCUUCAUCUUGCAACAAUGACUGGAAACUUAAAUAUUGUGGAGUUUUUGGUGGAGUUAAUGUCAGUAGAAGACGUACUUGCGGUUGACAAGCGGAAUGAGACUGCUCUUAUUGGCGCUGCUGCUACUGGAGCAACAAAAAUUGCUGAAUGCAUGCUGAGAAAGACCAUGGAUUUAGUUACUAUUGCAGACGAUGAUCUCCCAGUAACAGUGGCAUGUAAUAAUGGCCAUAAGGAAACAACUCAGUAUUUAUAUUCUGUCACUCCUUUUGAUAUACUGCUUCCGGAAAAUGGAACCUUCGGCUCUUCUCUUCUUGUAGUCUCAUUUUUCAGAGAAAUGUUUGAUAUAUCCUUGGAUUUGCUGCAGCGUGGCCCAAGCUUAGCCACGACACGAACACAACUUGGAAACACACCGCUAGACCAAUUUUCUGGUCUGAGUCAUUUGUUCCCGAGCGGCAACCGAUAUGUCUUUUGGAAACGAUGGAUAUAUUCCUGUAUUCCUGUGGAAUUACCUGCUGGCCCUACCCCGGGUGAUGUUCCAAUUGCCAUUCCAGAGAAUGAUGAUCAUGUCAGACAAGGGAUGAUUGAAAUGCCAAGUCUCAGUUUGAAGUUACUAGAAUCUUUUGGUCUGACGCAGAUUUAUGAUAGAAAAUUGAACCAUGCCUAUGCUCGUGAACUUCUGCACUUGAUGGCCAAACACAUAUCAUCUUCAAUUGACGACACUAAAUUUGAAGAAAAUGGAAUAUAUGCUGCAUUCUUUGGAGCGAUUAAAUAUGGAGUAGUUGAAGUUGUAAUUGAGUUGCUUAAAGCCAAUUCCAAUCUGCUAACUGUUGUCGACAAAAAAUCAAGAAACUUACUUAUGAAUGCAGUUCAUUAUCGGCGAGAAAAUGUUUUUAGCAUUAUAUAUGCGCUUGGUACGAGGAAGUACAUUUUAGUAAUUGAUUAAGGGUAAUUGAAAACAAAUUACAUUCUGCUGCAAAGUUAUCACGUCCUGAUAGACUUGCUGGCAUCUGUCAGGUGCAGCGUUUUGCAGAAUGCCAAAAGAGACAAAGAGAGCUACAAUGGUAUAAGGAAGUAGAAAGUAUUGUGGAUCCUUUAUCUAAAGAAUACACCAACAUAGAUGGUGACAAUGCUAAUAAGAUAUUUUUUAAAACCCAUCAACAAUUGGUGAUAGAUGGAGAGAAAUGGAUGAAGGAAACUGCAACAUCUUGCACAGUCGUAGGUGCUCUCAUUAUUACUAUAAUGUUCAGUGCAGCAUUCGCAGUUACUGUUGGAAGCAAUGAUCAAGAAACUGGUGUUCCAAUAUUUUCACAACGAAUAGAAUUUACAAUAUUUAUAAUAUCCGAUAUAAUUUCUCUUUUUGCCUCCUCAACAUCAGUAUUGAUGUUCUUAGGAGUCCUUACAUCGCGCUAUUCAGAAGUUGAUUUUCUCAAAUCUUUGCCUACAAAGUUGAUUAUUGGUCUUUCUGCUCUCUUCCUUUCAAUUGCAACUAUGAUGGCAGCCUUUUGCUCGAUUCUUAUGAUAGUGCUAAAAGGAGAAUUGAAUCUUGUCCUUCCAAUCACUCUUUUGGCUAGUAUACCUGUUAUCCUUUUUAUAUUCUUACAAUUUCCCCUUCUUGUUGAGAUUUUCGUUUCUACAUAUGGACUAGGCGUCUUUAAUAGAAAAAUGAAGUAUUGGUAUUGAUCUUUCUGCAUUGAGGAACAAGAAUUUACAUUUCCUAUUGACUUCAAUGAUGCACAAGUGUUGAAGUAUGGUCUUAAGUACAUUUGAGGUAUUUUUCUUCAGUAUUUUCGGACAUGGUUGAAGUGCUUGUCUUUAUCAUGUAUCAUUUUUCCAAUGUAUUAGUGAAAUUGGGUUUUCUCAAUUCUCUCUUUUUUGUGUGUAUAAUUUCAAAAAUAUGGGUGUGAGAUUUAAGUUUCAGUAUAAAUAAGAUUCUUGCUAACUUGUUUA